rnacentral:rRNA from 1 species
CCCUUAGAUGUUCUGGGCCGCACACGCGCUACAAUGGCAAAGUCAACGAGCUAAUCCUAUGCCGACAAGCACAGGUAAUCUUUUCAGUCUUUGUCGUGAUGGGGAUAGACCCUUGUAAUUAUUGGUCUCCAACGAGGAAUUCCUAGUAAACGCAAGUCAUCAACUUGCAUUGAUUACGUCCCUGCCCUUUGUACACACCGCCCGUCGCACCUACCGAUUGAAUGGUCCGGUGAAGUCUUCGGACCGAUGCUAACUCGUUGGCAACGGAAAGUCGAGUAAACCUUACCAUUUAGAGGAAGGUGAAGUCGUAACA